UUAUGUUAUGAUUAUUUGUUAGAAAUGUUUUGCCUCUUGGGGUGAAGUAUGGUAAAAUCGUUCAACUUUUUGUGUUUUGUGAUGACUUUUGGAUAUAGCCCUUUUGGAUGUACCACGGUAAAACCGUUCUAGUUCUUGUGCUAUAAUGACUUGUAAAUAUUGCCUCUUUGGGAUGAAGAAUAGCGCAACAUCUCUAAUUCUUGUAAUAUAAUCACUUGUGAAUAUUGCCCUUUGGGAUGUAAAAUGAUGAAACCUCUCUAGUUCUUGUGUUUUGAUGACUUGUGAAUAUUGCCCUUUGGGAUGUGGAAUGGUAAAACCGUUCUAGUUCUUGUGCUUUAAUGACUUGUAAAUAUUGCCUUUUGGGAUGAAGAAUAGUAAAACAUCUCUAAUUCUUGUAAUAUAAAUCACUUGUGGAUAUUGCCCUUUGGGAUGUAGAAUGUGAAACCUCUAUAGUCCUUUUGUUAUGAUGACUUGUAGAUAUUGCCUUUUGGGAUGAAGAAUAGUGAAACCUCUCUAGUUCUUUUGUUAUGAUGACUUGUGAAUAUUGCCCUUUGGGAUGAAGAAUAGUGAAGCCUCUGUAGUUCUUAUGUUAUGAUUAUUUGUAAAAAAUGUUUUGCCUCCUGGGGUGAAGAAUGGUAAAAUCUUUCAACUUUUUGUGUUCUGUGAUGAUUUGUAAAUAUUGCCUUUUGGGGUGAAGAAUGGUAAAACCGUUCUAGUUCUUGUGCUAUAAUGACUUGUGAAUAUUGCCUUUUGGGAAUAAGAAUAGCGAAACAUCUCUAAUUCUUGUGUUAUGAUGACUUGUGAAUAUUGCCCUUUUGGAUGUAGGAUGGUUAAAAUCUCUCUAGUUCUUGUGUUAUAAUGACAUGUGAAUAUUGACUUUUGGACUGUAGGAUAGUAAAAUCUGCCUAGUUCUUGUGUUAUAAAGUCUUGUAAUUAUUGCCUAUGGGAUGUAAGAUGG